ACCUACACUAAGAGAGAUAAGUAGACAAUGUAUGAAAUUUGGAAGUUGAGCUGAUUCAGCAAGAUUAGGAAUGAUUUGGGAAAAGGGGAUGGGCCUAGUCUGUGUUCUUUUUGGACGGUAAGUCAGGCCACUGUCAGGCAGAGCUAUGCCCAACUCUGAGGAGGCCUUUUCCAGCAAAUGUUCUCCCCUACUUAAAACUUGGUCUGCUGGCAGUCCUGGAGACACGGCAGAAUAAGAGGAAAGGGGACUAGGGUUUUUAUCCCCAUGUGUAGGCAGAGCCAGGCAAUUAUCUUCCUGCACCAACAGAAGGAUGGGCAAGGAGAACAUGACCCCAGCCUUUAAUUUCCUCUCACCGUCAACAGAGUGACCCUUCCCCAGUGAGAAAUAUCAAAUUGCUUGGCAUUUAUGAUUUUCAUGGCUUUGACUAUCUCCACCAAAAGAAGAAGAAGAUUAAUGAGGAGGAGGAGAGUGAAGGAAAGAAAGAGGCAAAGAAAGAAAAAAAAUGUGACAGCUAGUAUUAAAAUGUGUAAGUACCUGAAAAAGUGUUUUCUACCCUAAGAAAUAGGUAUCUCUAAGUUGUAUGUGCUUGGUGCUGAGAAGACUCUUAAAGAAAAAUCUGUGCAUAGCGUGUGAGCCUCUCUGUCAGUUUGCAACCGCAGUAACCUUCCCUGUACUCGGCUAGUCUCCCUGGGAUGCCCAUGUCACAGGCUCAGGUCCCUAUUUGGGGCAGAGGAGAGAGAAAUGAUGAUUAUUUAGUGCAUUCUUGAAUUGCUAAUUUCUUGGAAGUACUAAAGCUACUCCAGAGGAUUUUAUUGUAAUGACUCCAACUCUACCUGAUCUUUAUUAGAUUUAGGAAAAAGAACACCCUCUUUCCCCCAAACAGCUUCCCAAGUAUGAGCAUUAGUUUUGUUUGCAAAGCAGUGGCUGUCCCUGCAAGCUUUGGUAGCCUCACUGGAGAACUCCCCAACUAGAACCUCGCCUGCCAGCCCUGUGGGACUUCCUUCCUUCUCCACCUCUGCUCUGGGCUCCUAUUCCCUUGUGGAUGAAUUUUCUUCCCCUGGGCACUUGCAUCCAUCCUUCACAGGUUGGCUUUAACAGCAUUUCCCACAGGAAAACUCCACAGUCCCCUGAACUAGGAUUGUGCUCCUUGACCCCGCUUCUGUGAUUUCGCUAGGACGACUCUUAAAGCAAGUGCUUUUGGUUGCCUGGUCCUGCUCUGCGAGCUUGGGGACCAUGUCUGUGGCAUCAUUCUAUUCUGGCACCUAGCACAAUAUUUACAAUGAAGAGGGGCUGGAUAAUCUUUGAUGAAAGUAAAAGGGAAGGCAGAGAGGGAGGGAAGGCAGGAAGAAGGCAGGAAAAUGAAGAGAAUAGAGGAGAAAGGCAGAAAUGGAGGUCACUGCAGAGACAUUCCCAGCCUGUCAUACCCUUAGACUCCUCCCCUCCCCUUCUCUUUUUCUGUCUCCUCAUUCUUUUCUUCACAAAAACUCCAGGAUUAAAAUAAAAUUGAAAUCAUCCCUGCUUCAGUGUGUACCCCAACCUGAUCUACAUUUGGGGAUUUUUUUUCCUUUUUAUUUUUGUUAUUCUACACCUUGCCUCUGAGAAUUCAAACACAUUUCAAGGCUAAUUUACUUAGCAAGCAUGAAUACCAAGUCUCUAUCACACACACCCCAAUAAGAGAAUGACAAUAUAUGUUUUAUUAAGUGUAAUAUUUUAUUUAAGAUUUGAAAAUCUUACAAAAGUUUCCUGAAACCAUCAAAUAAUUCUUCAUGACAGUGACAUUGCAAGACUAAUGAAAUGAAGGUAGUAGAAAUAAUAUUAUUUGAAGGUGUAGGAAGAUGAGGCACAGGUUGGAGAAAAUCUAGAGAAAAUGUGGUAUUUGGGUAGUGGAAUGUUUUAUUUGUGUUUUUGUUUCAUUAGCAACUAAUGCUUGAAGUUUCUCUUUAUUUAAUAAAACAUAUGUGAAAAAAUAAAAUAGAUGUGUAUUCUAUUUAAUAGAAAGGCUUAUUCUCCUCCCCAAAGAAUGUAGAAAUUGGAACAAAUGUAUACCAGACAUUUCCCAUGGGAUUUAAAGAAAAAAAAAAAAACAACCCAAGUGGUGUAAUGCAGUAAGAGAGGGAUGUUGCACUGCAUGUGAGUAAGAUGAGAUAAAAAUCUCUCAAAGAAACUUUCCAUUGCUUUCAAUGCAUUUCCCUUUUUUGUGCAGAGAAAUCAAGGGGAUAAAAAUAUAAGAUAGAGCAUAAUACAGUAGCAUUAUGGAAGAGAAUAAUACAUGUUCACUUGGAUUACUGUCUUCAUCUUUCACUUCCUCACCUUAAGAAAUGUGGUGCAGGGAUGGCUGAAUUCCAGAGCAGAGCAAGAAGGGGAGUGCAGGUUCACUUGUGACAGGAGAUUUCGAAAGUUAGAAUUACUAAGUCUGGGCUGGAAAAUAAGAGAGAUUUACUCCGGCAUUAAAGAUAUGUAACUCGGCAGUAAAACUGAUAGAUCCCUAGUACAUUGUCCCAUAAGAGACUGGGCCACUUGGAGAAGUUAAUGCUAAGGAAAUUUAAAGCAAGUUACAGGAAAUACUUCUUCACUUGGUAGAAUUCAUGCUGAGGAAUUUGCUGCCACGGGCAGCCAUGAAAUCAAUCACUGAGUUGGAUUUUUCCAAGGGGCAGGAUAAUGUAUGUAUGGCCUGUUCUUCUGGCUAGUUGGGAAGGACAGCAGCAGUCAAUUCGCUUGCUUCUAGAAGAUCACAGUUGAUUACAAGUGGGGUCAGCAAAAGGAUGUCCCCCACACUUGAUCAGGAUAAUUAAAAAGUGUUUGUCCAUGCUCACAGGUCCUUGAACGAGAGUGGAGACAGGAUAGGAUCAAAUGGCCUGAUCCAAUAUGACAAAUGUUUUUUGACAGGAACAAAAAUUUAAGCAACACAGACACAAAGAAAUCAAUUCCAGGAAGUAAUUAAAGAUGUUCCUAAAACAUUUUUUUCAUAGAAGCACAUUUUUUUUCCUGGGAAUAUAAACAUUACACACUGUUUUUGGUUUUUAAUCUGAUUCUCCAACAAGUACUCUUAAGGUACCUCUGCCAAACCUGAAAACAGCUAAGGUGCAUGACUUUCUUUAUCCCAAGGGAGAUGAGAACGUAAUUGAAAAGUUCUGAGUAGACUGCAAAUGUUAGCAAGGCGGUGUUAAUUUUGAGGUUGUCAUGUUCAAUGUCAGUAAUAAGGUCCUUUGAUAAAGUCAUCACAGUUUAAAUCCAGCUUUUUAUUCUUUUUGUGAUUUAGCUAAUAUCUUCCCCUACCUCUUUAACUUUUGUUUUUCUCAUUUGAAAAUAUGAUGUAGUCUCCAGGACUUCACUUUGUUAAACUGUAGAUGCAUGAAAGGCAAUACUGAAACUUUGGCAUUCUAAUUUAUGAACUACUGAGAGACCAGAAAGGCAUGUCGGGUAUGGCUGGAGUCUGCAUUUUCAUUUGGGGACAAAAGCACAUCACAUAGUCUACUAAAAUGAGAAAUUUUGCUUUAAAAAAAAUUACAAAAUAAAAUACAAUCCUGAAUAAGACACAGUAAACCCUAGUCUUUGAAUUUCAGUAACAUGUAGCCAUGCUGAAAAGGCAAAGAAAAUGCUUCUUUGUCACCUCUUGAGAACCAGGAAAUGUUACUGACUUUAACAGACAAUGACCUAAUUUCAUUACCUAUGUUAAAGAGAAAGCACAAGUAAAGAUAAAAGGACUCUGAAAGUUCUUCUAUGAUAAACCACCAUAACUUUUUAUAGUUGUUAUGAUUUAGCACUUAAAGACAUAUUUAUUUUUAUAAGCAUGCUUUAUUUGAACAUUGUCCUGACCACCACCGACCCUCAAAAAAGAUGAGAGUUGACAUCUCUAUGCUGGUAUCACGGGACUGUUCUAUAGUUGCCAUGGCACUGUGUUGGAAGCUGUACAUACAAGGCAUUCUUGAAUAAGCUCAUAGGACAUCUAACUCCAAGCCUUCUUUGUGGAGGCAGCAGUCUCUGGAGCCAGACCACCUGGGAUCCAGUCCUGGCUCUGCCUCUCAUCAGCGAGGUUUCCCUGGGGAAAUCAUUUAACUGCCUUUGCCUCAGUGUCCUCACCUAUAAAAUGGGAAGAGCAAUAUUGCCUCCAUCAUAAGAUUGUGCUCUGCAAUAUUUCUGUGUCAUCAGCUCCCAUAUAGAAAAGAGUUAACUACUAUAAAACAAGAACAAAAAUAGUACCUGGCAUCAAAAGAGGUGUGGCCCAAAGGACUUGAAUAUAAGUAAAUUUUAAUAAAUCUAAUAAAUAGCAUUAUAUUCCUAACUGUGCUCAUAUCCAAGGAGUAUGUUCAAACUGGAUGAUAUAAGGUAAAUUGUAUGUAUUCAUACUUUGGGGGGUUUUUGUUUGUUUGUUUGUUUGUUUGCUUUUGCCAACAGACCAGAAGACCCAUUUAAGGAAAAUAUCAAAUGGAUGAGAAUAAAAAUAAUGGUGUGUUGGUAGCCAAGGAGCAAGUCAAAUAGGAAGGAUAUUUUGCUCAUUUUAUCCAGGCUUACUUCAAUUUUAUUGAUGCCCAGUUUAGAGAAUGCAGCAUCUCAUCUCUGUAUUGAAAUCAAGUUCCUCUCACCUUUCAAGAGCCCAAGAACCACUUCAUCGUCAGCAACGUAGAAAGCCACAAAUCAAUUAAACUUACCUUGCAUUUAUGAGUACCCAUGAAUUGCACUUACAAUGGUUUUACAAAAAGGGGUGGCAGUGCAGGAAUCUCAACAAAGGCACGCAAGUCAGUUGCCUCCCAGUGCCCUACUGAGCCACCGUGCCCAGCCCAAGGAAGUAAAAAUUUUGAAGACAGUUAUGAAAUGGAAAAUUGAGGCAAUUCAUGGGGGGAGGAAAUACAUGUAUCUUCACAUUCCCCACCCUUCAAUCCACCUAUUCACCUCCCAAAAAGAAUAUAUUCUUAAAACGAAAAAAUAUAUAUAUUUGCAUAUAACCUUCCCAUGGACUUGAUCAAAAUGAAAAACUUUGUGAUGUUUCUUUUAUUAGCAGAAACUCUGUGGUCAGGUGGCCUUGGUUCAAACCUUGCCUCUGCCACUUACUGACUGUGCAUGACUAUGAGCAUGUGACUUCACCCUCUCUGUACCUCAAUGUUCACAUGCAUAAAAUGGAAAUAAUACAACUAAUUGUGUCAUAUGCCAUUUUAAGAGUCAAAUUAAAUUAAAAAUAAAUGAAGUAGGAACAUGUCUGGAUCACAUAGCUAAGAGUUUCUUCAGGUAACAGGUAACAACUGAUGCCAUAGGCCUCAAUAUUAGAAGUGAUAGGCUACAGAUAAACUGGGCCUCUUGGUGUCCACUAGCUUCCAACUGCUUUGCCUGGGUCUAUCUACAUGGUUAAUGUCAGGACAAAUAUGCUUUGUUUGUUAUUAUAUAUAUGCACACACACACACACAUAUACAUACUUAUAUAGGGUAUUUUCUUAAAUUCACUGAAUACGGACCUCCUUAGCUUAAAAAACUACCCUCAUGAGAAAGUUGAAAAAAGCAAAACUACAAAAGAAAAGGCAAAAGGUUAGGUCAAACAUUAUCCAUACCAAUUUAGUAGGAUAAUUAAUGGUUUUCUGUCCUUGCUACUACACAAAUCUGUUGUUACCCUCAAGGCAUAAUCUGCUUUCCUAGUUGAGGGGAAAAAAAAUAGUUUAAAAGUUUUUUAAUUCCUCAUAAAACUACUGUGAAAAGAACAUGGAAGUAGAUAAAGGACAAAGUGAGAAAAUGCUCUCCUUGCCGUUUGUCCCUCUAUUAGCACCUGUAGACAGGUGGCCAUAAAAGGACAGCUCUGUGCUCCAAUCUGAGAACAUUUUUCUGGGAUCCAUAAGGAAAAUGGGAUUUCUUAAGACAAGAAAAAUUCUCCUGUGUGUGUUUACAUCAGUAUCUUUCCGCAUCAUAACAGGGGGCAUGUUGGAGUGUUUGAAAUGCGACUACUUGUUUUGAUGUUGCAAAUUGCACUUUUGCCAUCCACCAACCUAUGUUCCUCUCCCAGGAAUAAUAUGUCAGAGGGUUGCCCAUUAUUACAGGGACACAGCACAAAAAGCACCCGGGUUCAUCUCUAAACUACAGAAAGACAAGGGUCACAUUGACUCCUGGCCCUGGAAGCAGCAGGCUGUCCCUUGGAGAGUUAUCGCUUGCCUAUCUGCUUCACACCUCUCAGCUGACCAGACUGGGCACUGGGGACCACUGGGAAACCUCUGCCUGGAUCCCUGUGGGAUGGAACAGGUCUCGGGAUGAGCUCUGCUCCACCCCAGAGAGAAGCUCCAUUUGACAAUCCAAAUGCAACGAUUUGUCUCCUGAGUCCAGCCUGGGACAGAAGCUGGUGGGCAGAAGAGCCAUCCCAGCUGCAUCUAGGCCUGGCCUAUUGCUAGCUGGCUAAGCUUAGUCAGGGCUCCUAAACCUCUCAGAGCCUGUUUCCACAGCAGCAAAACGUUGACAAUGCCAGUAUUUAUGUCUUGGUGAUGUUGUGAGGCUGUCAAGAGAUGAGGCUGUCAAGAGAUAACGCAGUGCCCAGUGAAAAUCGCAGCUGAAAAAAAGUCUAGAGAUGGAAGAUCAAAAAUGGAAGGGGUAUGGAUUCUGCCAGAACGUGGGGUGCCGCGAUGAACAGCCAGGAUAGAUGGAGCAGCGCAGUGAGGAAUGAGCCUGCCACCAAGCAGAAGCCCAGCCUUGGCUGAGGCGCCGCGCAAAGGGGGUCAGGUCAGCCCGCCCGGCAAGGGUGAGCUCAACGACGUUGGGCUCUUCACUCCUUAACGCGCUCUGGAGCCCUUUCUUUCUCGGGCGCCUGCCGGUGCUCGCCACGACGCAGAGAGGUAGGCGCACGCGGGUCUUUUCUCUGGGACGCCAAGGUGCAAAGCAAAGACCCACGGGGUUACCCGCGGAGAAAACUGGUUCCAGAUGUAUUCUUGUGGGGCCAAAUUCUCUUCUGUCUUCAGCUGAGCCUUGAAGCGAUCUAUCUCCAACCCGGCCUCAGGGCUGCCCAUCAAAGCCAGGGCCUGGCUCGCUCUCUCCUUCCAGUUAUUACCGCCCCUCAACUCCACCUUCCACCUGUCCCCCUCCACAGGAAGCUACCAGAGAUCAGGCGGCCAGGAAUCCUCCCAGACCCCAUCUCCCAGCCACACAGGAAAGGACAGAACUUUGUUUCUCAGAAAAGUAGAUGUAGGCGGCUGGGGGUGGGGGCCGGGAACUGUGCAACAAGCUCUGGGGGGAGGAGGGCGAAGAUCUUCCACACGCCCCAGUUGCUGGGCGCCUCCAAGAGCAAUGAGUCUCUGGUUCCCAAGACAACCUUAUGUCUAGCAAACCCAAAGGAAGCUGAAGAUCUCCCAGGAAAAGAUCAACUAGAGUCAUACUGGAGGGUGGUGGGUGCCAAGCCUGGCCCUCUCGCGCACCUCCCAGCCCCCAGUCUUCCGACCCACCCACCCUCCAGGGCCAGACCCCACCGUGGUUCCUCUUCCCCGACAGUUCGCUCCUUCUCCCUUAUUCUGCCCUCGGCUUGCAAUCCCAGCUCCCCUGGACGGUACUUUGGAGCCACGCUUAUUUCUACCGCGUAGUUUGCCUGACACUGGGGUCCGGUGUAGGUGCGAAUGUCCCAGCCUCCUCCUGCUGACCUGCAAGGGCCAGAUCCAGGCUGCCCGAGUCCCUGCAGUACCCUCCCUGCCCAGUGCUUUCGCCCCAGCCUCACUCUGGACACCCUCCCAGGGCCGGCGAAGCAUACUCUAGCCUCGAGCUCUUGCCUUUCCCUGGAGCUUUUUAAAACUAGUCGUGGGGACCUUAUUCGGGCCAGUAGAGUGGGAAGAUCGCCUUCCCUCUGCUACCAGCCACUUCCUUCAACCUGCUGCGCUCCUGCAGACCGCGACAGAGGCAGCGCUGAAGGCCGGACACCUUGGCUGUCCUGGGGAGUGUCUGAGUCUGCGGUUUGCUUUCUGUGCCUAGAACGCUCUGUGGAGAUGGCGAGAGGGGCCCAUGAGAGGUCCUACCCCAUCCCUUAUUCAAGUUCAGCUUCAGGUUCUAGCCAACUCGGGGUCUCCAGCAUGCCCAGAGUAUCAGCAAAGCCGGGGACAUCCAGCGCCCGAAACCAUCCCAUCCCUGUGGGGCAGCUCGUGUAACCGGCGACUGGCGACGCCAGGAGGAGCGCAGGCAACCGCUGACCACGGCACACAGCAACGUUUUUUUUUUUUUUUUUGAAACGCAUUGCUGUCCCCUUGAAAGGUGUUAUAACAGCAAUUCAAUUACAGUAAAUGGCGCGCAUCGUCCUCACAGCUGGAAAGUCGGUAACUGUGACCGACCAGAGUAAAGGAAUCCGGCUAGA